AUUGAACGCUGGCGGUAGGCCUAACACAUGCAAGUCGAACGAGUGGCGGACGGGUGAGUAAUGUCUGGGAAACUGCCCGAUGGAGGGGGGUAACUACUGGAAACGGUAGCUAAUACCGCAUACCAUCGGAUGUGCCCAGAUGGGAUUAGCUAGUAGGUGGGGUAACGGCUCACCUAGGCGACGAUCCCUAGCUGGUCUGAGAGGAUGACCAGCCACACGGGAACUGAGACACGGUCCAGACUCCGACGGGAGGCAGCAGUGGGGAAUAUUGCACAAUGGGCGCAAGCCUGAUACAGCCAUGCCGCGGGUAUGAAGAAGGCCUUCGGGGUGUAAAGUACGUUCAGCGAGGAGGCGUUACUCGCAGAAGAAGCACCGGCUAACUCCGUGCCAGCAGCCGCGGUAAUUC
rnacentral:rRNA from 1 species